rnacentral:siRNA from 1 species
ACCACAAUCCCAUAAUGAUACCGA